GAUGAACGCUGGCGGCGUGCCUAAUAAAUGCAAGUCGAGCGAACAGAUGAGGAGCUUGCUCCUCUGACGUUAGCGGCGGACGGGUGAGUAACACGUGGAUAACCUACCUAUAAGACUGGGAUAACUUCGGGAAACCGGAGCUAAUACCGGAUAAUAUAUUGAACCGCAUGGCUCAAUAGUGAAAGACGGUUUUGCUGUCACUUAUAGAUGGAUCCGCGCCGCAUUAGCUAGUUGGUAAGGUAACGGCUUACCAAGGCAACGAUGCAUAGCCGACCUGAGAGGGUGAUCGGCCACCCUGGAACUGAGACACGGACAAGACUCCUACGGAGGGCAGCCGUAGGGAAUCUUCCGCAAUGGGAGAAAGCCUGACGAAGCAACGCCGCGUGAGUGAUGAAGGUCUUCGGAUCGUAAAACUCUGUUAUUGGGAAAGAACAAAUGUGUAAGUAACUAUGCACGUCUUGACGGUACCUGAUCAGAAAGCCACGGCUAACUACGUG
rnacentral:rRNA from 1 species